GAUGAACGCUAGCUACAGGCUUAACACAUGCAAGUCGAGGGGUAACGAGAGGAAAGCUCGCUUUCCUUGUCGACGACCGGCGCACGGGUGAGUAACGCGUAUCCAACCUGCCCCCAACUAGGGAAUAACCUUGCGAAAGUAAGACUAAUACCCUAUAAUUUCCUCAGAUGCCAUCUGACGAGGAAUAAAGAUUUAUCGGUUGUGGAUGGGGAUGCGUCUGAUUAGCUUGUUGGCGGGGUAACGGCCCACCAAGGCAACGAUCAGUAGGGGUUCUGAGAGGAAGGUCCCCCAAAUUGGAACUGAGACACGGUCCAAACUCCUACGGGAGGCAGCAGUGAGGAAUAUUGGUCAAUGGGCGGAAGCCUGAACCAGCCAAGUAGCGUGCAGGAUGACGGCCCUAUGGGUUGUAAACUGCUUUUAUACAGGAAUAAAGUUAGCCACGUGUGGUUAUUUGUAGGUACUGUAUGAAUAAGGACCGGCUAAUUCCGUGCCAGCAGCCGCCGUAA
rnacentral:rRNA from 1 species